rnacentral:tRNA from 1 species
AACGGGAUAGCUCAGUUGGUUAGAGCACUACACUUUUAAUGUAGUUUUAUGGAAACAGGCUCAAAAUCUGUAUCCGACA